UGCUUCUUUUUUUGGGAUCACACUAUCUCUAAUAGAGAUUCUCUAUCAUCUUUGUUCCAUUUACUAUUCAAAUAUAUAUGGGUAAAACCGAAUAUAUUACAGUAAUAAACUUGCACCCAACACAAAUUUUGCUUUGGAUUGAACUAUAUUUUCAAUUUAAUUGAAAAAAAAAAGAUAAUGAGAGCGGCUAAUACUCGAUCUUAGAACACAUAUGCACAUGCAAUGAAGAUUACCGUGACAUCAAAAUAUUUAGAAGAAAAUAAAUAUAAUUCUGAUGGCCAUAUAGAUAUAUUAUAGUAUUAUAGGCAUCUUCCGCUGUCUACGUGAUCAAAUUAAUUAAACAAUGUUACUUCUUUGUAUUAAGUUAAAUCAAUGCCUUCUCUUCGUUACCAGAUU